rnacentral:rRNA from 1 species
GGCGGCAUGCCUUACACAUGCAAGUCGAACGGCAGCACGGGAGCAAUCCUGGUGGCGAGUGGCGAACGGGUGAGUAAUGUAUCGGAACGUACCUUCAGUGGGGGAUAACGUAGCGAAAGUUACGCUAAUACCGCAUAUUCUGUGAGCAGGAAAGCAGGGGGAUCGCAAGACCUUGCGCUGAUUGAGCGGCCGAUAUCAGAUUAGCUAGUUGGUGAGGUAAAGGCUCACCAAGGCGACGAUCUGUAGCGGGGUCUGAGAGGAUGAUCCGCCACACUGGAACUGAGACACGGUCCAGACUCCUACGGGAGGCAGCAGUGGGGAAUUUUGGACAAUGGGCGCAAGCCUGAUCCAGCCAUGCCGCGUGAGUGAAGAAGGCCUUCGGGUUGUAAAGCUCUUUCAGCCGGGAAGAAAACGCAUGGGUUAAUACCCUGUGUGGAUGACGGUACCGGAAUAAGAAGCACCGGCUAACUACGUG